rnacentral:rRNA from 1 species
AUUGAACGCUGGCGGCAGGCUUAACACAUGCAAGUCGAGCGGAGAGAGGUAGCUUGCUACUGAUCUUAGCGGCGGACGGGUGAGUAAUGCUUAGGAAUCUGCCUAUUAGUGGGGGACAACAUUUCGAAAGGAAUGCUAAUACCGCAUACGUCCUUCGGGAGAAAGCAGGGGAUCUUCGGACCUUGCGCUAAUAGAUGAGCCUAAGUCGGAUUAGCUAGUUGGUGGGGUAAAGGCCUACCAAGGCGAAGAUCUGUAGCGGGUCUGAGAGGAUGAUCCGCCACACUGGGACUGAGACACGGCCCAGACUCCUACGGGAGGCAGCAGUGGGGAAUAUUGGACAAUGGGCGCAAGCCUGAUCCAGCCAUGCCGCGUGUGUGAAGAAGGCCUUAUGGUUGUAAAGCACUUUAAGCGAGGAGGAGGCUACUUUAGUUAAUACCUAGAGAUAGUGGACGUUACUCGCAGAAUAAGCACCGGCUAACUCUGUGCCAGCCGCCGCCGUAACAC